UGGGGAAUAUUGCACAAUGGGCGCAAGCCUGAUGCAGCCAUGUCGCGUGUAUGAAGAAGGCCUUCGGGUUGUAAAGUACUUUCAGUCGGGAGGAAGGUGUCAAGGUUAAUAACCUUGGCAAUUGACGUUACCGACAGAAGAAGCACCGGCUAACUCCGUGCCAGCAGCCGCGGUAAUACGGAGGGUGCAAGCGUUAAUCGGAAUUACUGGGCGUAAAGCGCACGCAGGCGGUUGAUUGAGUCAGAUGUGAAAUCCCCGGGCUUAACCCGGGAAUUGCAUCUGAUACUGGUCAGCUAGAGUCUUGUAGAGGGGGGUAGAAUUCCAUGUGUAGCGGUGAAAUGCGUAGAGAUGUGGAGGAAUACCGGUGGCGAAGGCGGCCCCCUGGACAAAGACUGACGCUCAGGUGCGAAAGCGUGGGGAGCAAACAGG
rnacentral:rRNA from 1 species